rnacentral:tRNA from 1 species
AUAGUGGUGGUUCAGUGGUAGAAUUCUCAUCUUCCAUUCUAGAGACCUGGGUUCGAUUCCUGGCCAAUGCA